GUGGGGAAUCUUAGACAAUGGGCGCAAGCCUGAUCUAGCCAUGCCGCGUGAGCGAUGAAGGCCUUAGGGUUGUAAAGCUCUUUCAGGGGGGAAGAUAAUGACGGUACCCCCAGAAGAAGCCCCGGCUAACUCCGUGCCAGCAGCCGCGGUAAUACGGAGGGGGCUAGCGUUGUUCGGAAUUACUGGGCGUAAAGCGCACGUAGGCGGAUUGGAAAGUUGGGGGUGAAAUCCCGGGGCUCAACCCCGGAACUGCCUUCAAAACUCCCAGUCUUGAGUUCGAGAGAGGUGAGUGGAAUUCCGAGUGUAGAGGUGAAAUUCGUAGAUAUUCGGAGGAACACCAGUGGCGAAGGCGGCUCACUGGCUCGAUACUGACGCUGAGGUGCGAAAGCGUGGGGAGCAAACAGGAUUAGAAACCCCUGUAGUCC
rnacentral:rRNA from 1 species